rnacentral:misc_RNA from 1 species
UUUCCAGCCCUAAUUUCUGGAUGCACUU